rnacentral:tRNA from 1 species
GGUGGAGUGGCCGAGUGGUUGAGGCACAGGCCUGCAAAGCCUGGUACGCGGGUUCGCGUCCGCAGGACGCGAACCCGGGAGAGCGCUCGCGUCAAGUGAGGAAGCGCCGGUGCGCUUCCUCAUAGCGAACGGUCCGAGUCUGACCAGCGGGAAGGCGAGGACGGCGGUUUCCAAAGGAAACCGCGUCGAGUCCCGUCUCCACCU